rnacentral:tRNA from 1 species
GGGGGUGUAGCUCAGGUGGUAGAGCGCUUCCAUGGCAUGGAAGAGGUCACGAGUUCGAGUCUCGUCACCUCCA